rnacentral:lncRNA from 1 species
GCAUCCUAAAUUUCUAAUUAAAAAUGUUAUAAAAUUAUAGCAAAAAUGAUAUAUUAGUCUAAUGGUUAAGAUUUAGUGAAUUUGACUUUAACACCCAAGUUCAAUUCCCUUUUAUUGUAUAAUUUUUAUUUACUGAAUUUUUGCCCAGAAAACCCUAGGAAUCGUCCCCUAGUUUAACCUAGCUAUAAAUAUUAUUUUUACUCCCAUUUGUCAGAAUUUUCCCACUUUCUGCUCCCCUUGUCAUCCCCUCUAUUUUCCCUCACUGUUUCUUUGAAUUUUUUCUUCUUUUUCUUCCUUUUUGUGCCGCCCAAUUAAUCAUCAACUUCCCUUGCCUCAUAUUUUAUUUUGCUGCUAUUUUUUUACUGCAAUUAUCUCACCAUUGUAGCCCUUUUCUCCUCCAUUUUUGCCGUCCCAGUAAGCCACCAUCUUUGUCGUUGCCACCCUUUUGAUUCUCUGCCUCUAUUCUUCAUUAUUUCUUUUUUCGUCACGAUUUUGAGCAAGUAAAGUAAGUGCAAAUUUUUCACUUUAAUUCUUUCAGAUCUAAGUUUUUUUUUCUUUUUUUUCAUAUUCUAAUAUGGCCGAUUGAUUUUUGGCAUAGCCGAAUCUUUCAAGUUACUUUUUAUUUGGUGUUUGAAUGUUCAAGAUCUAGAUCCAAACCAUAUGGAUCAGCCAUAGCGUUGGGAAGACUGUUUGCAAAGUCAUCAUAAGUCAGUUAAGGUAAGCAUUAAUUUUCACUUCAGAUAUGAAGUUUUCAAUUAAAAUUUGUUGCUUGGUCUAACCCUAUGAGGGCAAUAGGGGGCUAAUUGUUAAUGAUUAAAACUUUAUUGGGUACAGAUCUGAGUGGGAGCUAUCUAGAUCCCAAGUCUAAGAGUUGCGAAAAAGCGACAGAUUUCAGAUUAGUGCUAAAACGUUUGGGUCUUCCCUUAUGCUUAAUUAACUUGAAAAUCAUAUAAUAUAUUUGUAAAUGGUAAAUAUGCUUUCUGGUUUUGGUUUGGUUGAAUGGCCUAAGUGCAAAUAAGUGAGGUGCCGAGCAGGGUACAUAAACAAUUAGAAAGUCUAUUUGUUAAAGGUCCUGUUUGGGUGAUGAAAUUGUGAACUGAAUGUAUGUAUAGCAUGCUAGAUUUUGAAACACUAACUGGGGUGCAUGUUUUAUGCCAUGAUUGGCAUUGACUGUAUGAAACCAUGUUAGCAUGCCAUUUUUACCAUUAAAUAAAAAGUAUGUAAAGCACAUAUCGACAUUGAAUAUUGACUUACAUGUUAAACAUGCUAUUGUACUGAAACAAUUACUGAAAGCAUGAUGUGCUUAUAGAUUGUAUGACAUAUUUAAUCUGUAUGGGGUGGGUAUUUUUGGUUGAUGGAGGAGUUUCGUGGAGUACUGACAGCAUUUAAAGUCCACAAUAUUGUUGUCAGUGUACUACACCGGAGUAUCGAGGAGAUUGGGAGAUUUAUAGCAUUUUACUGGCAAUUUUAUCUACAUACUAUUACUGGUGGUUUUAACCACAUCGAGAUUCUACUCUUAUAGUUUUAGAGUUCAAAUGACGGGUUAUAGAGAACUCGUGGUGUGUAGAGGAUGGUUGUGUAGGAUUAUUGCACUGUAUCAUUGAGCAUGUCAUAUUCAUAUGUUGUAAUGCCAUGAUAAAUUGUUUGAAAUGUUAUAAUAAUUGUGUGGCUAUUUGACUGAGUAAAUGCUUAUAUUGCUUAGACUCGUCCCUAAUUUACUCCUUACAAAUAACCAUUAGGAUUAGGGUCAGAUUCGGUGUGCAAUGACUCAUAUCAAAUUUUUACCUAAUAACGUUUAGGUUGAGUUUGGAAGGUUACAUUUGGUGGUAUUAGAGCCCGAUUUAGUAACUUAGCCUGAAAGAAACUGAAUCUGCAUGCAUCCUUUUGAAAGGGGUAUUUUGGGGAAAAACUUGUCACAGUGUUUUAUUUAAAAAAUUUUCUAAAAAAAUAUUCUUAAACUCCGAGACUCCGAUGCCAACUUUAUUAAAUACUAUUAAUAUCACACUGUAGAUAAACACUAGGAUCGAAUUGCACAAAAUUUUAAGACUUUAGAAAUUAAAAAUAUAUAGUGUUUAUGUCUUUAUGAAACUGUAGAUGAGAUUUAAAAAAUAUAAACUGAGAUGGUAUAAUGAGUACCCACGGAACACGAGCCUGUGGAAUGUGAGGUUGUAGGGGUGUCAUCGAGUGGUUCAGGCUGAGUCAUCCUUUCUGGGAAACAUGCCCAAUCUAGAGACUAGUGAAACUACUAAAACGUCUGUCAGUGAGGGCAUUAAUAAGGGAAUUGGGGAUGAUGUUAUAUCCUAAGCAAUGUUAAGGGUAAUACAGAGGGUCAUUGGGGCCUAAAUUGGUACUGGGAAUCGUGGGCCCACUAUUGAAAGUCUCUGAUCUAAUGGGGUUGAGCUAUUUAAGGGUAUUUCUAGAACAACCCCUACAGUGGUCGAAUAUUGGAUAGAAACUACCGAGAGAAUUUUAGAGGAUAUGGAUUGCAUUCCAAAAUAGAAGCUUAAGGGUGUUGUGUGCUUACUUAGGGAUGGAACUUAUCGUUGGUGGUAACUGUUAGUUAGGGGUACCAUGGCUGAGCGCAUUACUUGGACUUAUUUUCAAGAGGCCUUUCAGAAAAAAUAUGUGGGUACCAGGUAUCUGGAGGCCCAUCGGUUGGAGUUUAUUGAACUCAAGUAAGGGGACAUGUCUGUGUCAGAAUAUGAGGUAGAAUUUCUAAGGUUGAACUGCUAUGCUCCAGGUAUGAUGGCAACUCAAAAGGACAAGAGUUUGUAUUUUGAUGAGGGCCUUAGGUAUGAUAUGAAAAUUCAAGUGGCCUCGUAUCAAGAGAGAGUAUUUUAGAACUUAGUUGAGAAGGCUAAAAUUGUUGAAGAGGUUAAGCGUGAAAAGAAAGAUAAAAAAAAGGUUCAAAAUAAGAGGGAGUAUGGUUCUACUGGCCCAAAUCUGUAACCUGUGAAGUAGGUCAGAGAAGUCAAGCCACAAUAGAGCGAUGCAACAUGGGUAUUGGGGUUGGUGGAAUUCAGUUGUAUAGGUUCUGUGAUAAGCGCCAUCUGGGCGAGUGUUGGAAGAGGUUGGGUGCAUGUUUCGGUUGUGGUUCGAUUGAGCACCGAGUUAAGGACUACUUUCGCCAGGUUAAUCAGAUGCAAGCUCUAGUACAAAAUAAGCUACAAAAUUUGAGGGUUGGGUCAAUACCUCAGAGUGGUCGUGGUUCGAAUAGGAAUGGUAAUAAUGGGUAGGGCCAGCGAGCACCGGUUUAGGGUGCAAACAGAAAAAAGGCUAGGCAAUCUGUUCUAGUUUGUGCUGCAAGUUACCGAGAGGACUGAGAUGCGAUCGAUGUCAUAACAGGUACCUUCACUAUCCAUUUUCUACCUUACUUUGCUUUAGUUGAAAUUGGAGCUAUAUACUCCUAUAUUACAUAUAAUGUAUCUGAAAAACUAGAAUUGGGGUAGAAAAUACUGCUAAUACUAUUACUAUAGUCAUCCCUUUAGCACAAUUUGUGGUAGUAGAUAAUAUUUAUAAGAUGUGCUCGUUGGAAGUUCAAGAGGCGAUUUUUUGGGCUGAUUUGAUGGAACUGCUAUUUGACGAAUUUGACUUGAUAUUGGGUAUGGACUGGUUAGUUGAACAUCAAGUCAAAUCAAACUGUGCUACUAAGAGGGUAACAUUGAAGACUUCUAAUGGUAAACAUAUCGUCAUGGUUGGGGAGCAUCGGGAUUAUCUACCAAAUGUGAUCUUUGUUAUGGUAGUAGAGAAAUUUGUCUGAAAAGGGUGUAAGGCAUUUUUGGCCUAUGUCUGAGAUGCAAGUGUUACUAGUCUAGCUAUGGAGAAUAUCUUAACUAUUAAGGAGUUUUCAGACAUUUUUCUCGAGGAAAUUCCAAGGUUACCUUCGGUCGUGAGGUUGUGUUUGGAAUUGAGUUGUUACCUGGAACAACACUGGUGUACAUUGUUCCCUACUGUAUGGCACCAGAAGAACUCAAAGAGUUAAAGAUCUAACUUCAAGAGCUCUUGGAUCGCGAUUUCAUAAGACCUAGUAUUUCGCUGUAGGGCACUCCGAUUAUUUUUGUUAAGAAGAAUGAUGGUUCUCUGAGAUUGUGCAUCAAUUAUAGGCAGUUAAAUAAGUUGACAGUGAAGAAUAAGUAUCCUCUACCUAGGAUUGAUUAUCUAUUUGAUUAGUUUCGAGGGACAACAAUUUUCUCUAAGAUAAAAUUCAGAUCUGGGUAUUACUAGUUUAAAUUGAAGGAAUCAGAUGUGCCUAAAACUACAUUUAGAACUCGGUAUAGCCAUUUCGGGUUCCUGGUUAUUCCUUUUGGCUUUACGAAUGCUUCAACUGUAAAUUUUACGUGAGAAGAAGCUUUUUGCUAAAUUGAGUAAGUACAAGUUUAGGCUAAAAGAGGUAAUGUUUUUGGGUCAUGUGGUAUAUGCUGAGGGUAUCCGUGUGGAUUCAUAAAAGAUAGAAGACAUUCUGGAAUGGAAGCAGCCUAAGAGUGUUUCAGAUAUUCGAAGCUUUUUUAGUUUGGCAGGGUACUAUCGAAGGUUUGUUGAGGGUUUCUCCUUGAUAGCUGAUCCCUUAACUAAGCUAUUGAGGAAGAACACACCUUUUAAAUGGUCAGAUGACCAACAAGCCAUCUUUGAGAAGUUUAAAUUCGUGUUGGCUCAAGCUCUAGUUUUAAUUCAGCCAAAAUUUGGGAAAGACUAUGUUUUAUACAAUGACGUAUCACACACCAAUCUUGGUUGUGUAUUGAUGCAAGAUUACAAAGUGGUAGCUUAUGCUUUGAGACAACUUAAGCCACAUUAGUGCAAUUAUUUGACUCGUGAUAUAGAGUUGGCAACUGUGGUGUUUUCUUUGAAGAUAUAGAGACAUUACCUUUAUGGUGAGAAGUGUAUUAUCUACACGGAACAAAAAAAGUCUCAAAUAUCUCCUCACCUAUAAGGAGUUAAAUUUAAGACAAUAGAGAUGGAUUGAGCUGUUGAAGGACUAUGACUGUAUUAUAGAGUAUCAUCCUGGUAAAUCUAAUAUUACGGCUGAUGCUCUAAGUAGAAGAUCAAUGACUAAGCUUAAGGCUAUGUUUACAAGAUUGAGUUCGUAUGAGGAUGGUGGUCUUUCAGCUGAGUUGCAAGUUAAGCCUAAGUAGGUAAGUGGGAUUGAGGUUAAGCAACCUUUAGAUGUAUCCUUGUUGCCUCGAUUUAAAUAGAUUGAAUAUGAUAAGCCUGAGGAUUUCAGGUUGAAGUCUUAGGGUAUUAUGUGUUUCAAAAAAAGAUAAUGUGUGUCGAAUGAUCCAGAUUUUAGACAGUCCAUCUCUCAGGAAGUGUAUAGUAGCCCUUACGCUAUGUAUCAUUAGGGUAAUAAAGUGUAUCGGGACUUAAGGGAGUUGUAUUGGUGGCCCAAACUGAAGCGGGAGGUGACAUAUUUUGUAUUUAAGUGCUAAACUUGUCAGCAAGUAAAGGCUAAGCAUCAGUUUCCUUUUGGGUUGUUGUAACCAAUUAGAAUUUCGUAAGAGAAUUGAGAGAGAGUCACUAUGGACUUCAUUAGUGGGUUGCCCUUAACACUUGCUAAAAAGGAUUCGAUAUGGGUUAUAGUUGAUAGAUUGACAAAGUUGGCUCACUUCCAACCGGUUCACACUAACUAUUCCCUAAAAAAGCUAGCUAACCUUUAUAUCUCCGAAAUAGAAAGAUUGUAUGGGGUUCCUAUGUCAAUUAUUUCAAAUCGAGAUCCACGUUUCACAUUUCGAUUCUGGAAGAAGCUUUAUGAGGCACUGGGUAUUCGGUUAGAUUUCAGUACGACAUUCUAUCUAUAGACAGAUGAACAGUCCGAGCGGGUUAUCCAGGUUUUAGAGGAUUUGUUAAGGAGCUAUGUGAUUGAGUUUUAGGGUAGUUGGAAAGAGCAUCUACUGUUAGUUGUAUUCACUUACAACAACAAUUUUCAAUCCAGUAUAUAGAUGAAACCUUAUGAGGGUUUGUAUGGUUGUAGGUGUCACACUCUUUUGUGUUGGACUAAGUUGGGCGAGAGAAAAGUUUUUAGUUUGGAGUUGGUUCAAGAGACCGAGGGUACUGUCAAACUAAUUUGGGAUAAAUUAAAAACGGCCUAGGAUAGGUAAAAGUCCUAUACGGAUCUGAAGGGGAAGGAAAUUGAGUUUAUUUUCGGCCAUCGGGUUUUCUUGAAAGUAUCACCAUAGGAAAAGGUAUUGAGGUUUGGAGGAAAGAACAAGUUGAGCCCUAGGUUUAUUGGACCGUAUCGAAUUCUUAAGAGAAUUAGACUGGUGACUUAUCAGCUUAAGUUGCCUACUUAGUUGGACCGCAUUCAUGGAGUGUUGCAUGUGUCGAUGUUGAGACGGUACUAAUCAGACCCUUCUUACAGUAUCCCGAUUGAGGAGAUUAAGGUUAGACCAGACUUGUCCUUUGGGGAGAAGUCUAUGAAGAUUUUAGACAGAAAUGGUAAAAUUUCUUAGAAGAAAACAUAUCCCAUUAGUUGAAGUUCUUUGGCGGAACUAUGAUACCAAUGAAGCCACUUGGGAGCCAGAGGAGUCGAUUCGUCAACAGUAUCUUCACCAGUUCAAAUCAGGCAAAUUUCGAGGCUGAAAUUUCUUUUAAGGGGGGAGAGUUGUCACAUCCCAAAUUUCUAAUUGAAAAUGUUGUAAAAUUAUAGAAAACAUGAGUUACUGGUCUAAUGGUUAGGAGUUAAUGAAUUUGAACUUGAAACCCGAGUUUGAUUCUCCUCUUUUGUAUAAUUUUUAUUUACUGAUUUUUUGCCCAAAAAACCCUAGCUGUCACCCCCUAGUUUAACCUAGCUAUAAAUAUUAUUUUUACUCUCAUUUGUCAAAAAUUUUCCCAACUUUUUUAUUCCCCUUGUCGUCCCCUGCCUUUUCCCUCACUAUUUCUCUACAUUUUUUAUUUUUUUCUUCCUCUUUGUGUCGCCCCAUUGAUCAUCAACGUCGCUUGCCUCCUAUUUUAAUUUGCUAUUUUUUACUGCCACUAUUGCACCUCUAUAGCCCCUUUUCUCCUCCAUUAUCGUUGUCCUAAUAAGCCAUCAUCUUUGCCGCUGCCACCCUUUUGAUUAUUUUCCUCUACUCUUCGUUAUUUUUUCUAUCGUCACGGAUCUGAGCAAGUAAAGUAAGUGCAGAAAUUUUACUUUAAUUCUUUCAUAUCUAAGUUUUUUUUGCUCUUAUUUUCAUAUUCUGAUAUGGCUAAUUGAUUGUUGGCAUGGCCAAAUCUUAUAAGUUAUCUUUUAUUUGGUGUUUUAAUGUUCAAGAUCUAGAUCCAAACCAUACAGAUCACCCGUAGCGUUGGGAAGACUAUUUGCAAAGUCAUCAUAAGUCAAUUAAGGUAAGCAUUAAUUUUUUACUUCAGAUCUGAAGUUUUCGGUUAAAAUUUGUUGCUUGGUCAAACCCUAUGAGGGAAAAAGGGGGCUGAUUAUUAAUGAUUAAAACUUUAUUGGGUACAGAUUUGAGUGGGAGCUAUCUAAAUCUCAAGCAUAAGAGUUGUGAGAAAGUGAUAGAAUUUGGAUUAGCGCUAAUAAGUGUCUUCCUCUAUGUCUAAUUAACUUGAAAAUCAUAUAAAUUUAUAUUUAAAUGAUAAAUUUUCUUACUGGUUUUGGUUUGGCUGAAAGGCUUAAGUGCAAAUAUGUGGUGUGCCAAGCAAGUUACGUAAUUAAUUAGAAAGCAUGUUUAUUAAAGGUCUUGUUUGAGUGAUGAAAUUUUGAAUUGGGUGCAUUUAUAGCUUGCUAGAUUUUGAAACACUGAUUAAGAUGCAUUUCUUAUGCCAUGAUUGAUAUUGACUAUAUGAAACCAUGUGAGCAUGCAAUUGUUACGUUAAAUGAAAAACAUGCAAAGCAUACAUCGACGUCGAUAGUGACUUGCAUGUUAAACAUGCCAUUGUACUGAAAUAGUUACUAAAGGCAUGAUGUGCUUACCGAUUGUAUGACAUAUUGCAUCUAUAUAGGGUGGGUAUUUGUGGUUGACAGAGGAGUUCCAUGAAGUACCGACGACAUUUAAAUUCAGUAAUAUUGUUUUUAGUACACUACACCAUAGUACCGAGAAGAUUGGGUGAUUUAUUGCAUUUUACUGGCAGUUUUAUCUGCAUACUAUUACUGGUAGUUUUAACCACAUCGAACUUCGGCUCUUACUAUUUUGGAGUUCGGAUGACUGGUUCUAGGGAACCUGUGGUGUGUAGAGGAUAGUUGAGUAGGAUUAUUGCACUGUAUUAUUGAGCAUGCCUUAUUCAUAUGUUGUAAUGCCAUGAUAAAUUGUUUGAAAUGUUAUAAUAAUUGUAUGCCUAUUUGACUGAUUGAAUGCUUAUAUUGCUUAGACUCAUUGGGCUUUUAAAGGUCACCCCAUUAAUUUACUUCUUACAGAUAACCCUCAGGACUAGGGCCGGAUUCGGCGUAUGGAGGUCUCAUCUCGUAUUUUUACCUAAUAAAGUAUUUUGAAUUUUAUUUUAUUUAUUUUGGUAUUAUUAUUUUGGGAUUGUAAUUUUUAUUUAAGUAUGGACUGUGGUAUGAUACACUUUUAACUUGGAUUUUGCUUGCAUGAGUUUUUUUAUGAAAACUGAACAAAUUUUAAAACUGACUUAAUAUGACUUAAAAAAUACGAAUUUUUCUACGAAAAUCAAAUGCAAUACUUUUUCUGCCGUGUAACGGUAAAACAAAGGUUUUAAAAGGGUUUUCCGACGAAAUCAACUGAGUUUUAUUUCUAACGACACGACCUUUUAAUAAAUUGAAGUUAACAAUAAAUGACCUAACAAACUAGUGUUUUUAGCAACCCUUAUUUGACCAAGCUAAGUUUUCUGAAAAAUCAAACAAAAUAAUGGUUUUUCAAUUAGACGUUUUUACUUAGCCAUUUCGGUGGCUAAUAUAACCUUCGGGAUUUGGUCAUAACAUUUAGGCCGGGUUUGGAAGGUUACACUAAGAUUACCUAGAAGCACAUUUUACUUAAUUUUCCUUGUUAUAGAAUUUUUUUAAUUGGUUUAAUUUCCUUAAUUUUUUAGUCUCAAUUUCCGUAAAUUUUUUUUUAUAAUUUUUACUUUUUAUUACAAUUUAUAUAUUAAUAAGUAAAUGUAUGAUGUUGAAAUAAAAUUAUAAAUCAUAAUUAUAAUAAUUCAUGAAAAGUAAUUAUAACAUCAACCAUAAUUAUAAUUGUACCCAUAAUUAAUAUAUUAAUAAAUAAAUUAUUAAAUAAAAUAUAAUAAUUAUAAUGGUUUACUAUUAAGAACAAAUUUUUUUGUUUUGUUUUUAAUUAGUCUUAAAAUUUAUUUAAGAAAAAAAAUUAACUUGAUUAAAAUAAUAAAAACAAAAAGUAAAUUUGAUCAAAAUUUAAAAUUACACUUGUAAUUUAAAAUAGCUUAAGAAAUGAACCGUAAUAAGAUUACACUUUAUAUUAUAACAUUUUGAUACUAUUUUAUAGAUAUCUAAAAUGUUGAAAUCUAAAUAUCAUAAUCUCAUUUCAUUAGGGGAAGAAAUGCAUCUUGUUGAUAUUUAAGUUGAAUUCAAUGUCUUUUUUAACCACACAAAUAACCAAAGAAAAAGCCAAAUAGCCAAACCGUAGCCAUCGUAGAUGAGAUGAAAGUCUUUUUCAUCAUUUGAUUGGUGGACGUGAUCUUUGUGGCCUAUUUACACUUUCCAAAGCACUGAGGUUGAUUCGUGACUUGUCUUUUUCAUACCAAUAGCAUUAGAGUUGAUUGCUACUACAAAAUUUGUUUUUUCUUUUUCUUUUUGUUAAUAGAAAACUUACGUAACUUUCCCUACUCGUCUUUCCGUAGCACUUGGGUUGAUUGACUAUAUAUACAAAAUCAACUUUUUGUUGAUGUGGUAAGCGAGUCACCCAACCAUUCAAAAACACAUGUGGCGAAGGUGUCACCCAGACAUUUAAACAACAACCUACCUGUACAGCCCAACUUAUCCCCGGGCCCAACAAGCAGAGGCAAAGCAAAAAAAAAAAAAAACAGCAAACACAAAUAACAGGCCCAAAUACCAGACCCAUUUUGCCCUAGCCCAAACUUUCAAUACCCAACUAACCUAACCCACCUAAAUGACCCACUAACCCUCAGCCCAAAACAAUUAAACCCCAUUACCAAACCCAAUACAACACCAACCCAAUACCCCAAAUUAGACCCAAUUGCCGAGCCCAGCUGCAUUGGGUCCAAGGUCUCAGCCUCCAUGGUCAAACUAGGGUUUCAGAACUGAAACCCUAGCUUACCUGCCCUCAGCGCCGCAACCACCGCCAACUGCCACUGUCAUCUCCACCCACGUGCGCCCAUGCCUACAAUGACAGAGAGGAAACUUCAGCAAGCAAAAAAAUAGACUAAAAAACUUAUGUAAAUCGGCUAUAAAGCCAGGAAUGAAUCAUUGUAAAGAGGUUCCGAUUUUUAGCCAAGAAAAUUUUUUGAAGAAAUAAAAAGAAAACAGCAAAGGUGAUUUUCUUAGUUUCCUUUCGGUUUCGAUUUGUUUCUGUUCAUUUCUCUUCUUUAUUGCAAAUAUAAAAUAUAACUUAAUAAAAAAGAACAUACCCGAGCCGUCGCGGUCGUGGCGUCGCCGGAGUCCGGGUCAUUGAGGACAGACGAGGAAGGCGGCUUUUGGGGCUCUUUCCUUUGGCCUUGGGGUCUUUAAAACCCGAUCUUCGAAAGGCUUUUGAAACGGGGUUAAAAGAACCCGACCUUUUGCCUUAUGACCGCCGCCUACGGCGGUGCCGACGCCGGUAAUCGGCGACCGGCAUGGUGGCCCACGGCAGGGUCUUUGGCCGGAGAAGAGAGGGGUGGGGAGAGUACUUUGAAUUUUUUUUGUUUAAAACAGAUAAGAAUGAAAAAUAAAAAAAACAAAAACAAAACAACUUAAAUAGACACCCUAAACGGCGUCGUUUAGGGCUAGUACCAAUAGUCCGAAAACGGUGUCGUUUUGGCACGGAUCAAGCCGACCCGACCCGACCCGAGCCAAUGAAGGUCCGCGCGUUUUGUACCUGAGGAUCUAUUUUCGAUUUCGGCCCUUCCGCAUUUUAACUAUUUUACAAUUAAGUUUCUUUUUUUAAUUUGAUCUUAAAAUUUCUUUCAUGUUUCAAGUUAAUCCUCAUUGCUGCAUGCGUUUUGAGGGCUCCGGUCUAUUUACUCUUUUGGUCCCUCUUUGUUUGGCGAGUGGCAUUUUAGUCCUGUUUUGUUUCUUUUUUCGAAUUCGCCCAAUUUUUUGUUUUUAUUUCAAUUUGAUCCCCUUUUUAGUAAAUUUAUUGUUUAAUUAAUUACUUUAUUAUUAUUAUUAUUAUUAUUAUUAUUAUUAUUAAUUAUUACUAGUUUUAUUUUCCUUAAACCUAUUCGUCACUGCUUCGGUUAGUAUGUUAACUUGUUUCAUUAUUAUUAUAGCUUUAUUUUUAUAAUAUAUGUAUAUAUACCUAUGUAUAUUUCUUAUAUAUAUGCAUAAAUAAUUAUAUACAUAUAUAUACUUUAUAAUAUUCACGCGUACAUACUUUUAUUUAUUAAAUAUUUUUAUAAUCCAUAUUUUUUAUACACUUGUAUAUAUACAAAUAUCUAUGUUUCAAUUCAUAUAUAUAUAUGUACGUAUACAUAUUUAUGUGCUUUAUGUACCUAUUAUAAUUUGUUUACAUGUUUAUAUAUAUCUAUACAUAUAUUUUUAUAUUUCGUGAUAGUUAUAUGUACAUAUAUACAUGUUUACUCAUAUAUUUUUAAUUUUAGAAUGCAUACAUAUAUUUUUCAUGUUUUUAUAAAUUCAUGUGCAUAAACCUGUUUUUUACAACAUAUAUACUUAUAAUUCACACAUUUUUUUGUAUUCUAUAAUCUGUAUACAUAUACAUGUAAAUACUUAUAUUUUAUACCUCAUAAUAUAUAUAUAUAUAUUUUCAUAUUUUCAUAUUUUAUGAUUUUUAUCUAUCUUCCUUUAUUGUUAUUGUAAUUUUCAUGCGCAUUUAUUUAUUUACUUAUAUGUCCAUUUUUUAUGUUUUAGUUUUUUUUAUAUUUUUAUUUGCUAUGAUAUAUGCACAAUUGAUUUAGUUUUUUAUUUGUUUUGUUCACACAAUCAUGUUCAAUAUUCCAUUAUGUAUAAAUAUCAUAUUUCAAAAAAGGAAUUUUUUUUUAAAUUGAGGUAAUAUUUAGUAUUUGGAAAUUCAAGAAAACAUGCCCUAAGGUGCUGGGUGUCGUUUUUUUCCCUCGUUCAACCCAAAUGGCUUAAUAUCUUUUUUAAAAAAUUUUAAAAUAAGGCAAUGUUUUGCGUUUGAAAAUUUGAGAAAACAUGCCCCAAGGAGCUGGGUGUCGAUUUUUCUCGUUCAACCAAAUAGCUAAAUAUCCUUUCAAAAAUUUCUAAUUGAGGUAAUAUUUAGCCUUUGGAAAUUUGAAAAAACAUGCCCUAAGGUGCUGGGUGUCGAUUUUUCUCGUUCAACCAAAUGGCUUAAUAUCAUUCUUAAAAAUUUCAAAAUAAGGCAAUGUUUUGCGUCUGGAAAUUCGAGGAACGUGCCCUAAGGUGCUGGGUUUCGAUUUCUCGUUUAACCAAAUUGCCAAAUAUCCUAUUGAAAUUAAAUCCAUGCCAUUCAAGUUUUUUUUAAGGAUCGUAUUUUAAAUUUCUUUAAAGUUUUCAAUCUUCGACACUAAGACAUUAAGUAAUCAACUAGGUACCAAUUUUGGGCGUAUCGAGGGUGCUAAUCCUUCCUCGUGCGUAACCAACUCCCGAACCCGUUUUUUCUGAAUUUCGUGGACCAAACUUGUUGUUUUAAUAAAAUCAAACCUUUUAUUAAAAACAACCACUUUUCGGGUGAUCCAAUCACACCUUAUCAAAAAAGAUUGGUGGCGACUCCCGUUUUCGUUUUCAUUUUUCAAAACCCAAGUCGACCCCGUUUUUCAUCAUCCAAAAAAAUGGUGUCAACAGCUUGGCGACUCCACUGGGGACUUCUCAAAAUAAGUGAGUCGAGCCACGAGUUGAUUACUUUUUGUCUUUUUGUCGAAAAUUGAAAAUUUGGUUUAAAUUUACGAUCCUUUCAUUACAUUUCAUUCUUCAUUAUGAUUUUUAUCAUUGUAAUUUAUAAUUGCUCUGUUUGUUUAAAGUUUGACAGCUUUUUGUAUUGCAUUGCAUGACCUUUGGUCACACCCUCUUAAGUGGGAGUGAGAAGCUACUCCUUCGUGAGGUUUUCACCUCCGUGCAGGAUAGUGGAUCACUUUCGGGAUACAUCCGUACCUAUGUUUUCGUGAGAUUUUCAUCUCCGUGCAGCCAUAGGGAAAUGUAUUCCCCUGAAUCGAACUCGGUCUAUAUGAGCCUAUAAUGGGUGAAGAUCGAGGAAUCUGCUGGUUCGGGUACCCUUACUUUAGAACUAAACCACAUGUAGCGAACCCUAGGAACCCACCCUAGAUAGAACUACUUCAAACCCCUAGUAGAUAUCCAAAUAUGUGUUCUAUUAUUUCUUGCUUGUAUCAGAUUUUAAUUUUGGUACUGACUUAUUAUUUUGUUUUGACUGCAUGGCAUUUUGUCUACAUGGCAUUUCAUUAAAGAAGGCGUUGAUUCAUAUUCAGUUACGAGAUAGAAAAGCCAAUCAUGGAAAGUGAAUUUCUUAACAAGGUGGAAGAUAAUGCGGUUAUCCGAAUAUGGUCAGAAAGGUCGCAACUCGAGAAAGGUGAUAGUCUGACAAUGGGGCAUGCGUCAGAGUUAUGGGAUUACACCAGCAUCAAUGUGACUCAAAACAACCUUCAGGAGUUGAAAGAAAUUUGGGCUCAGUGGGAUGAUGAAGUCAAACAAUUGUUUUACUGUAAUUAUGGUGAUUUACCCUACUUGCUUGACAUCAAUGUAGAUGAACAUCUAUUUCGAGCUCUGGCUCAAUUUUGGAAUUCUGCUUAUAGCUGCUUCACAUUUGGGAAGGUAGACAUGGUGCCUACUGUGGAGGAGUAUACAACUUUGCUUCGUUGUCCAAGAAUCCAAAUGGAUAAAAUUUACUGUAGAGCUGCUAAUGUUUUGACUUUUACAAAGAAGUUAACAAGAAUUACUAGAAUGAGUGAGCAAUGGGUCACUGCACGAAUCAAGCAAAAGGGAAAAAAUAGAUGUAUCCCUUGGAGAAGUUUGCGAGAUCAGAUUUUGGCACACCCUGAUACGAAGAAGAAAGUCGAUGUUUUUGCUUUGAGUAUGUACGGGCUGGUUAUUUUUCCUAAAGCAUUGGGGCAUAUAGAUGAAGCCGUUACAGAUUUGUUUGAUCAACUUGAUAGGAGGGUCACACCCGUUCCAGCAAUUUUAGCCGAAACGUUCAGAUCUUUGAGCGCAUGUCGAAGAACGGGGGAGGGAAGAUUCGUUGGUUGUGCACAACUCCUGUUAGUUUGGUUUCAUAGCCAUUUCUGGAAGGUGGAUAAGUUUUCUUAUCAAGUUUUUCAGAAAAUUAUUCGCCUUUGAAGGAAUUAGCAGCGACAUCAAGACGCGAUGACAUCACAGAGGAAAAGUGGAUGACGAUCCUACAAAAUCUACGAGAUGAAGAUGUUGAGUGGAGAGCUUCUUGGAUGGUGCCCGACGAGAUUUUGUACCGAUGUGGGGACUUUGACUGGGUCCCUUUGCUUGGAAUUUGGGGAGCUGUCGGAUAUGCCCCUCUGCUCGUGUUAAGACAAUAUAAGUCAAGACAGUUCGUACCGGUAACACAAGGGUUAGCUGAGUGUGCGUUUUCUUAUAAAGGUAAUAACUAUAUGGGAAAGAUUUGAGAGAUGUAUAACGCUUGGAAACAAAUUCACCAGAUGAAAAGAAUUGCCGUAGGAGCAACGACAACUCCUGAGUAUCAUGGGUGGCGGAGUAAGAGGAUCAAUGAUAACAUUCCAAAGCCUAGAGAAGAAUGCGGUUAUUCUAUAGAAGAAUAUUUGCGAGUAGUCCCUUCAGAAUUAGAGAUCAUCAAACAAGAUUUUGAAAAAAGAAGUUCAGAGUUUAGAUAGAGGAUAGAACAACUAGAAGAGGAAAAGAUGCGUUUGGGACUAGAUAUUGAUAUCCACAGGUUGGAAGCGGAAAAGUUAAGAAAAUAGAAGAAUAAGGCUGAAGAGGAUUUAAAUAGUUUAAAAACGAAUUAUAAGAGGCUGCGUUUGUCAAUGCGAACCGCAGGUUUGGGAAAAACAUCGGAACAAUGGAAGCAGGAGAUCAAGGAAGAAAGGGCCAAAGCUGAUCAGUGGGAAGAGAAAUUUUAAGAUGCCCGAGCUCGAGAGAGUGCAUUGGAGAAAAGUUUAUUAGAAUGCCAAAAUGAAGAAGCAAGGUGAAAAGAUCGGGUAGCGAAGUUAGAAAGGUCGCUUCACUUGUGCCGUAGUGGCAACUCUGUGGUCGAGCUAAAAGCAAGUUUGAGUAAGAUUGAAGAGUUGAAAGAAAGGAUAGGAGAACUUGAAGACGCAUUGCGAAAUUCUAAAUUACGAGUAGAAUUUCUUGAAAGACGUAAUGAACAGUACCAAGAGCAGCUCCAUCAUCUUCAAAGUCAGAUUAGAGAUAGAGAUUACGUUAUGGGCAAAGUUGUUACUCAAGUGCGGGAAGUGGCUGACCAUCUGCAAACCUUAGCGGUUCAGGCUGAUAUACUGAGUUUGAAAUAUGAGUCGGAGUUAAGUCGGGGUCGAGAGUUAGCUUGGCUCCUUAAGAGGGUUAAGGCUUUGAGCAUAAAGGCAAAGCCGUACAUGUAAUCCACUUUAUGUAAAGAAAUUUGUUUUCUAGUCAAGUUUUUCUAAUGAAAUUGAAUUAGAAUCAAUGCCUUUUCUUUGCAUUCAUUCAUCUGCAUUGCAUUUUUAUCAUAUGCAUUAAAGUUUCAAAAAUAAUAAUAAUAAGAGCUCUAAUCAAUGACAGUUACCUUGGAAAUCAACGAAAAUCUGUCAACUAGAUAUCAUUACGGUACUCGCCGGAGAACCAAAGAAAUGGAUCAAAGACUAGAGAAAUUAGAGCAAUUACAAGAACAGAUGCAAGCUCAGAUGUAAGAAAAACUAGCCAAACUGCAGCAAGAUAUGGAAGCAUCCCAAAGAGAAUUAUUGAAUCAAUUAAAACUGUUAACGGCUGGCGAGCACGAUAAGGGGAAGAGCCCCGCAGUAAAUUCUGGGGAUGAUCACGAAGACCCUGCCUACCCUCCAGGUUUUGCCCCAACUAAUGUCCAGAUACAACCAGGGGUAUACCCACAGAGGGUACCUGUCACCAUUAGAUCCCAAUACCAAGUUGGUGCCCCAGCAUCGAUGAACUUCCCAACAGGUUCGGGUUUUAAUCCAGGGGAUAAUCCUAUUAAUCCCGUGGUUCUGGAUCUCGACGACGCAGCAGAAAUAGAGAAAAUAAGAGUAGACCUGCCAAAAUAAUUAGAAGACCGAUGUAAAUGGUUAGAGGAGAAGUUUCAAGCCAUGGAAAAUGCCGAUUACUAUCGAGGAAUGGACGCUAAAGAUUUGAUCCUCGUACCUGAUUUGGUGCUCCCUCCAAAUUUAAAAUGCCAGAAUUCUAGAAGUACAACGAGACCAGUUGCCCCGAAGCCCAUAUCACUAUGUUUUGUAGGAGGAUGACGGGAUACAUCAACAAUGAUCCAUUGUUGAUCCAUUGCUUUCAGGACAGUUUGAUCGGGUCAGCGGCUAGAUGGUACAACCAAUUAAGUCAGGCCAACAUUCAUUCAUGGAAGGAUUUGACGCAAGCCUUUAUGAAGCAGUAUAGACACGUGAUGGAUAUAGCACCCGAUCGAAUUGUAUUGCAAAACAUGGAAAAGAAGCCUAAUGAGAGUUUCCGACAAUAUGCUCAGAGAUGGAGGGAAGUAGCAGCGCAAGUUCAACCACCGCUUUUAGAGAAGGAGAUAACCAUGCUUUUUAUCAAUACCCUGAAAGCUCCAUUCUCAAUCACAUGCUGGGCAGUGCCACUAAAAGCUUUUCAGAUAUAGUGAUGUCUGGAGAAAUGAUAGAGAACGCCAUAAGAUGUGGCAAGAUAGAGGCUGGAGAAAGUACUAAAAGGUCAACACCAAGGAAGAAGGAGCAUGAGAUAAACAAUACAAGCACGUUUAACAGGGACCAUUCUAAAUCAAUCACGGUGGGGCAAGCCAGAGCAGUAACCGCUAAUCAGUAAAAUUUUUCGAAACAGGAAUCCAAUCCAAGGCCAAAGGUAGAGAAACUUCAAUUCACACCCAUCCUAGUGACGUAUAGGGAAUUGUAUCAGAACUUAUUCGAUGCACGUGUGAUAUCUCUAUUUUACCUAAAACCUAUACAACCUUCGUACCCUAAGUGGUAUGACGCAAGCGUUCAAUGCGAGUAUCACGCGGGGACCAAGGGGCACUCAAUUGAAAAUUGCACUGCAUUCAAGAAGUUAGUUGAAAGACUUAUCAAUUUGGGGAUCGUAAAGAUAGGUGACUCAUCAGGACCGAAUGUAGCAGAAAAUCCAUUGCCCAACCAUGAUAGUAAAUGGGUAAAUGCGAUAAUUGAGUAUGGAGGAAGGAGAGUCAAAGCCAACAUAGCAGAGAUAAAGACCCCCAUUGAAUGGGUUUGGAAACAAAUGAUGAAAAGGGGUCUCAUCAAGCAAGGUUCAAUAGAAAGGCCUGAAGGAGCAAGGAAGUUUUGUGAGUUCCAUGCAGAAGAAAGCCAUGACAUUCAAGAGUGCACCGAGUUCAGAACCAUGGUGCAAAACUUAAUAGAUAACAAAGAAUUGGAGUUUUGUGAAGAGAUUAAGGAACUAAAAGAAGGAGAGGUUUAUGCUGCAGAAGAAGUAUCUACGGGGAAAGCCCAAAAGGCUAAUUACCCGGUGGUGAUUAUUUCAAAACCAAUGAGCAGAGAACCUGGAAUACAAAUAGCACCAAAGGUCAUAAUCCAAAAACCUGUAUCCUUUCCCUAGAAGGAUAGCAAAAAGGUUCCUUGGAAUUACGAUUACAAUGUAACAACCCCAGGAGAUGAGAGCUUGGUAAAUGCUUUAGGAGAGGAUGAAGGAUUCUAUACAUGAAGUGGAAAACGCUAUGGUCUGGCAAACGCAAGAGUGGAAUCUGGAAAACGAAAAGCCUUAGCGGUUGAAUUGGGAAAAGCAAAAGCAGACAAAAUUGAGCCGCGUGUCAAUCAGCCGGUAACUGAAAAUGAGGCUAAAGAAUUUCUAAAAUUCUUAAAACAUAGUGAGUAUAGUGUGGUGGAACAAUUACAUAAGCAACCGGCUCGUAUCUCAGUGCUUGAAUUGCUUUUUAGUUCAGAGGUACAUCGUAAUGCGUUGAUUAAGGUGCUAAAUGAAACUUAUGUCACAAGCGAUAUCUCAGUGAAUAAGUUGGACCGUUUGGUUAACAAUAUCAGUGCUGACAAUUUCAUUUUCUUUAAUGAUGAUGAAAUACCACCGGGGGGAAGAGGAGCCACCAAAGCAUUACAUAUCAUUGCUCGCUGCGGGGAGUGUACGUUAGCAGGAGUGCUAAUUGAUAAUGGAUCAGCCUUGAAUAUUUUACCCCUAUCUACCUUAAAUAGGUUACCGGUGGAUAGUUCCCACAUGAAAUCGUGCCAGAAUAUAGUGAGAGCAUUUGAUGGUACCGGAAGGAAGGUGAUGGGAAGAAUAGAAAUACCCCUCUUGAUCGGCCCGAAUACAUACGAAGUGGAUUUUUUAGUGAUAGACAUCAAGCCUUCGUAUAACUGCUUGCUGGGGAGACCAUGGAUUCAUUCAGCAGGGGCGGUGCCUUCAUCAUUGCACCAAAAGUUGAAAUUAGUGACAGAAGGCCGUUUAAUUACGAUAGACGUUGAGGAAGACAUCAUUGCAUCGGUAACCAGUGACGCACCAUAUUUGGAAACAGAUGAAGAGGCGAUCAAAUGUUUCUUUCGAUCUUUAGAGUUCAUAAAUGUGACCUCUGUUAUUGAGGGAAAGAGGAUCCCAAUGCCCAGUAUGUCUAGAGCCACAAAGAUGGGAUUACAAAUGACAGUAGGGAAAGGAGCUGUGCCUGGAAGAGGACUGGGAAGAUGCCUUCAAGGAAGAAUAGAGGCACUAGUGGUGAAGGACAAACAGGAUCGCUUUGGUUUAGGAUUUAAACCAAAUGCUAAGCAAAGAAGGAAAGAGUUAGAGAAAAGACAAGAGAGGAGGAAGGCACGUUUGUACGGAGAAGAAGUUGAUUGGGAGCCUAUGGCUUUCCCCCACAUAUCUAGGACUUUCGUAUCGGGAGGAACCAUGUAUUCUGGAUCGAGGACUCCAAGAAGGGAGAUCACAGAGGAAAUGCUAGGAAACUUGAACAUCAAUGCCAUAUCUGAAGGAAAAUCUGAAGAAGGAAGUACAUCAGGCAUCUAUCCCGUUGAACCUAGGAGUGUUUUAAAUAAUUAGACUGCAGAAGAAAUACCUGAAGUUUUUAGAGCUUUUUCAGAGUAAUAUUCAAAGCAUACUAAUUGUUCUAAGCCUAGAGAAAAUGAAACUUUUUGAGAAAAGAAAGGGGCUUAUAUUUGAACAUUGUGAUUUCAAUGAAAUAUAUUUUCGCAUUUUGAGUAUAUAUUCUUUUAAAAUUCUUUUCAUUCUUUCGCAUGAAUAGUUAUCUUGGAUGCCUUUAUUUCAGAUAAUUCUUUCAUUCAUUCAUGACCAUAUUAAAUAAGAAUCCUUAAAUUCAUACAUUCCCUAUACAUUCUUUGGUACUUAUAACAGGUUCCAAAAUAUCGAUGACAUGAGUGACUCUACUAUGAACUUAGAGAACCCUUUUGAACGAGAUAUGUGUUUAAAGGAAUCUCAAGAUUUUGAAGAUAAUAUAGAUUUCAACCUAUCUCCGGACUUGUUGAGGAUGUUAGAGUAGGAAAAGAAACAGAUUCUACCUCACGAGGAGAUGAUAGAGACAGUGAUCCUGGAAGAGGGAAAGGUGGUAAAGAUCGGCACGUGUAUAGCUGAAGAAGUAGUUAGAGUAGGAAAAGAAACAGAUUCUACCUCACGAGGAGAUGAUAGAGACAGUGAUCCUGGAAGAGGGAAAUGUGGUAAAGAUCGGCACGUGUAUAGCUGAAGAAGUAAAACAAGACCUCAUUGAAUUGCUUCGAGAGUUCAAAGAUGUCUUCGCAUGGUCAUACCAAGAUAUGCCGAGGUUAAGCACUGACAUCGUAGUUCACCGACUUCCUAUAAAGGAAGAUUGCAAACCAGUUCAGCAAAAACUCCGAAGAAUGAGGCCUGAUGUUGUAUUAAAAAUAAAAGAGGAGGUGCAAAAACAAUUCGACGCUGGAUUCCUGCAGGUGGUCAAAUACUCCGAGUGGGUAGCAAAUAUUGUUCCUGUCCCUAAAAAAGAUGGGAAUGUACGAAUGUGUGUAGAUUAUAGAGACUUAAAUAAGGCUAGCCCAAAAGACAAUUUUCCCUUGCUGCACAUUGACGCUUUGGUGGACAACACAGCAGGGCAUUCGCUAUUUUCUUUCAUGGAUGGUUUCUCUGGAUACAAGCAAAUUAAGAUGCAUCCUGAGGAUAUGAAGAAAACUACAUUCAUAACCCUAUGGGGAACCUUUUGUUAUAGGGUGAUGCCAUUUGGGUUGAAAAAUGCAGGGGCAACGUAUCAGAGAGCCAUGGUAACGCUGUUCCAUGAUAUGAUGCAUAAGGAGUUAGAAGUAUAUGUUAAUGAUAUGAUUGCAAAAUCUAAAACGGAAAAGGAACAUAUGCAAGUCCUUAAGAAAUUAUUUAUGAGGUUGAAAAAAUUUCAGCUAAAGCUAAAUCCAGCAAAAUGCACAUUUGGGGUCAGAUCAGGAAAAUUGCUUGGGUUCGUGGUCAGUGAAAGAGGAAUUGAGAUUGAUCCUGACAAAGUAAGAGCAAUAUAAGAAUUACCCCCGCCGUGUACUCAAAAGGAGGUUCGAGGUUUUCUAGGAAGGCUGAACUAUAUUGCUCAUUUCAUCUCACAGCUAACCGAGAAAUGCGACCCCAUAUUUCGCCUCCUUAAGAAACAUAAUCCAGGUGUAUGGGAUGAAGAAUGUCAAAAAACUUUUGAAAAAGUCAAACAUUACUUAUCCAAUGCCCCAGUGCUGAUUCCACCCUGCCCAGACAAACCGCUCAUACUGUAUUUGGCAGUGUUUGAAAAUUCCAUGGGAUGCGUGCUUGGUCAACAUGAUGAAUCAGGAUGAAAGGAAAGAGCAAUUUACUAUCUCAGUAAGAAGUUCACCGAAUGCGAAACAAGAUAUUCACCAAUCGAGAAAUUAUGCUGUGCCCUAAUCUGGACAACUCGGAGACUGAGACAGUACAUGUUGUACCAUACGACCUGGUUAAUCUCCAAAUUGGACCCUCUGAAAUACUUGAUGGAGUCAAUCGCUCUGAAUGGAAGAAUGACCCGAUGGCAAAUUCUUCUAUCUGAAUUUGACAUAGUCUAUGUGAACCAGAAGGCGGUCAAAGGGAGUGCAAUAGCGGAAUUCCUAGCAAGUAGGGCUCUGGAUGAUUAUGAGCCAUUGAAUUUCGAUUUCCCAAAUGAGGAUUUGAUGUAUGUUGCAACUGUAGAGAAGGAUAUCCAAGAAGGUGGUCCUUGGAAGUUGAGUUUUGACGGAGCUUCAAAUGCUAUAGGAAACGAAAUUUGGGCAGUACUCGUGUCUCCUAGUGGAGAUUAUUAUUCUUUCACUAGCAAAUUGGACUUUGACUGCACAAAUAACAUGGCUGAGUAUGAAGCUUGUAUUAUGGGCAUCUGGGAAGCCAUAGAGCGGAAAAUUAAGGUGCUAGAGGUAUACGGGGACUCUGCAUUAGUAAUUUACCAACUCAAAGGGGAAUGGGAAACAAGAGACCCGAAGUUGGUCCGCUAUCAAAAAUUGGUUAUGGAGUUGAUUGAGGAAUUUGAUAAUGUCACAUUUAGUUACCUCCCACGAGAUGAAAACUAGAUGGCAGAUACUUUGGCCACUUUAGCCUCCAUGUUUAAAGUAAACAAAUUGGAAGAUAUGAAGCCUAUCCAGAUCAGCAUCUAUGAGGCUCCAGCCCAUUGUUGCAACAUUGACAAUGAAGAGGAAAAGGAUGAUCACCCUUGGUACCAUGACAUAUUGCGAUAUGUGAAAAGUCGUGAGUACCCUGACCAUGCGAUAGAAAAUGAUAAGAAGACAUUAAGGAGAUUAGCCAUUGACUAUGUCCUAGAUGGGGAAAUUUUGUAUAAAAAGAGAAAAGAUCAAGUAUUGUUGAGGUGUGUGGAUGUCGUCGAGGCAAAAGAAAUUUUGGAAGGAGUGCAUGAAGGUAUCUGCGGAACGCAUGCCAACGACUUCACGAUGGCCAGACAAAUUAUGAGAUUUGGGUACUAUUGGUCCACCAUGGAAGGGGAUUGCAUUAGUUACGCCAAAAAGUGUCAUAAAUGCCAAAUUUAUGGUGACAAAAUGCAUGCGCCACCUUCACCCCUUCAUGUUAUGGUUUCUCCAUGGCCGUUUUCCAUGUGGGGAAUGGAUGUCAUCGGGCCAAUAUCUUCAAAGGCUUCUAAUGGGCAUCGUUUUAUCUUUGUGGUUAUUGAUUACUUCACUAAAUGGGUGGAGGCUGCUUCAUAUGCUAAUGUUACAAAGUCAGCAGUCAGUAAAUUCUUAAAAAAGGAGAUUAUAUGUCGGUACGGGAUGCCAGAAAGGAUCAUAUCUGACAAUGCGCUGAACUUGAACAACAACUUAAUAACGGAAGUUUGUAGUCAGUUCAAGAUCAGACACCAUAAUUCGUCACCCUACAGCCCAAAAAUGAAUGGGGCCGUGGAAGCAGCAAAUAAAAAUAUCAAGAAGAUUGUAGGAAAAAUGACUGAAACCUACAAAGACUGGCACGAGAAAUUACCUUUCGCUCUCUUGGCGUAUCGUACAUCUGUUAGGACUUCUACUGGGGCAACACCGUUUUCUUUAGUUUAUAGGAUGGAGGCAAUUUUACCCAUAGAAAUUGAAAUCCCUUCUCUCCGGGUAUUAACUGAACUAAAUUUAGAUGAGACCGAAUGGGUUCAAUCUCGAUAUGAUCAGUUGAACUUGAUAGAAGAAAAGAGACUAAAAGCUAUUCGUCAUGGUCAGAUGUAUCAAAAACGAAUGAUGCGAGCCUAUAACAAAAAAGUUUGUCCCAGAGAAUUUCACGAGGGGGACCUAGUGUUGAAAAAGAUUCUUCCUCUACAAAAAGAUUUUAGAGGAAAAUGGAUGCCAAAUUGCGAAGGUCCUUAUGUUGUAAAGAAGGCCUUUUCUGGAGGAGCUUUGAUCUUAAGCGAGAUGGAUGGUAAAAACUUGCCAAAUCCUGUGAACUCAGAUUCAGUCAAGAAAUACUUUACUUGAAGGAGGAGGACCAAAGUGAAAACCCGUAAAGGGUAUUUAAAAAAAAAGGGAGAGGCCAAGGUGAAAACCCGUAAAGGGCGCCUUGAGACCAAAGGGGAUUUGAGUUGAAAACCUGAAAAGGCGGCUCAAAUUUUGAGAAAACAUAAGGUGAUCGGAGCAGCUCAAAUUUUGAUCAAGACCUGGGGCAUGUGGUGGUCUCGCUAUACCUGAAUCAACAAGGAAAGGGUAGACGAUGUCUUGGGGUAUCGACAAAACCCUGUAGAUUCCCUAAACACAUAUCAAAUUUAGAAUGGUGUUCAGAAAGCUUAUGCAGGGAAGCUCGUGCUACGAUAUUUUGAGCACCUGUCGUCAUUUUAUUCAUUUUUGAAUCUUGACAAAAUGUAUUCACCUCAAGCUUUACUCCUAAUAAAAUUCCAUCUUGACCAUUGUCUUUUCUCAUCUCAUCUUAGCAAAAUUUGUUAUCUUGAUUAAUUUAUUCAUUUCGAGAUUUGUUCUCAAUAACAUUUUGUUUUCCAUUAUGAUAAUUUUUUUUUUCAAAACAUUUGAAGUAAUGGUUAAUAAAUUGAAUGUUCAAGCAAAAUGAGUUUUGCAUAUUACUCUAGAAAUUUCUAAAUAAUGAAGGAACCUGAAACAGGAUGGUUGUUUAGAACACACCAAUUUUAAGUAUCUAAAAGGAAAAAGCCAAAGUCAAGACUAUCCUUUCAAACUUUGUUGUCUAAAUAAGGAUUGAACAAAAUGAGAAGAUGCCGUGUUGGUGACAAAGCGUCAAUGAACAAACAAGCGAUGUUCACCAAGCAAUAAGAAAAGGUUUUCUGUGAGAAGAAAAUACUUCAUUGUGCAUAGACAUCUGGUAUGACACCUUGGGAAUGGUGUAGGAGACCAAAGAGUUUCACAUUCUGUAUCCUUGAAUUGUGAUAGCAGAAGAUCAAGAAAAAGCCAUAUUUUUCUACCCUUGGGUUACAGUGGGAGAAUGAUGGUACAAAUUUUGCAUCCUAGUGGAUUGAACUUGGAGGUUUGCAGUGAUGGCAAUCUGAUUAAGUGUUUCUUUGGAUAUGCCAGCCAAGCAAGAAGGCGUUGUAACACGUCAGUGAUAAAAAAAGAGCAAUAACAACUCAAACAUUAAAAAAUGGAUUAUUCUCAUGACACUCUGCAUUCAUGCAAAUAUCAUUCAUACACAUCUAGUUAGGAAAUUUUGAUUCAUUUUAAUCAUGACAUCCUAAACACUAGGCAUAAAUAGGUCGAUCAAAUGGAUUAUACAGGUCAUGUUCCCCAGAGAACAGAUCAAUGAAGAUAGCAGAUCUUGCUUUCCUGUACUGACAGUGAAGCAGAUCGAAGAAACCAUAGUUUGCAAUUCAAAUGAUUAAAGCCACCUCGGUGAAUCUUGAUUAAAGCUACAACAGUGAAUCUUACGCCCCAAGCGAUGCAGUGGAAUAGAUUAAAGCCAAAUUGGUGAAUCUUGUUUCUCUGACAUUGCAGUUAAAAAAGAUUAAAGCCACAUCGGUGAAUCUUGAUUAAAGCUACAACAGCGAAUCUUACGCCUCAAGCAAUGCAGUGGAAUAGAUUAAAGCCAAAUUGGUGAAUCUUGUUUCUCCGACAUUGCAGUUAAAAAGAUUAAAGCCACAUCGGUGAAUCUUGACUAAAGCUACAACAGUGAAUCUUACGCCCCGAGCGAUGUAGUGGAAUAGAUUAAAGCCAAAUUGGUGAAUCUUGUUUCUCCGACAUUGCAGUUAAAACGAUUAAAGCCACCUCGGUGAAUCUUGAUUAAAGCUACAAUAGCGAAUCUUACGCCCCAAGCGAUGCAGUGGAAUAGAUUAAAGCCAAAUUGGUGAAUCUUGUUUCUCCGACAUUGCAGUUAAAAAGAUUAAAGCCACAUUGGUGAAUCUUGAUUAAAGCUACAACAGCGAAUCUUACGCCCCAAGCGAUGCAGUGGAACAGAUUAGAACCAAAUUGGUGAAUCUUGUUUCUCCGACAUUGCAGUUUCGAUUCGUUUCUGUUCAUUUCUCUUCUUUAUUGCAAAUAUAAAAUAUAACUUAAGAAAAAAGAACAUACCCGAGCCAUCGCGGUCGUGGCGUCGCCGGAGUCCGGGUCAUUGAGGACGGACGAGGAAGGCGGCUUUUAGGGCUCUUUCCUUUGGCCUUGGGGUCUUUAAAACCCGAUCUUCGAAAGGCUUUUGAAACGGGGUUAAAAAAACCCGACCUUUUACCUUCUGACCGCCGCCUACGGCAGCGCCGGCGCCGGUAAUCGGCGACCGACAUGGUGACCCACGGCAGGGUCUUUGGCCGGAGAAGAGAGGGGUGGGGAGAGUACUUUGAUUUUUUUUGUUUAAAACAGAUAAGAAUGAAAAAAAAAAACAAAAACAAAACAACUUAAAUAGACACCCUAAACGGCAUCGUUUAGGGCUAGUACCAAUAGUCCGAAAACGGUGUCGUUUUGGCACGGAUCAGGCCGACCCGACCCGACCCGACCCAAUGAAGGUCCGCGCGUUUUGUACCUGAGGGUCUAUUUGCGAUUUCGGCCCUUCCGCAUUUUAACUAUUUUACAAUUAAGUUUCUUUUUUUAAUUUGAUCUUAAAAUUUCUUUCAUGUUUCAAGUUAAUCCUCAUUGCUGCGAUGCGUUUUGAGGGCUCCGGUCUAUUUACCCUUUUGGUCCCUCUCUGUUUGGCGAGUGGCAUUUUAGUCCUGUUUUGUUUCUUUUUUCGAAGUCGCUCAAUUUUUUGUUUUUAUUUCAAUUUGAUCCCUUUUUUAGUAAAUUUAUUGUUUAAUUAAUUACUUUAGUUUUAUUAUUAUUAUUAUUAAUAUUAAUUAUUACUAGUUUUAUUUUCCUUAAACCUAUUCGUCACUGCUUUGGUUAGUAUGUCAACUUGUUUCAUUAUUAUUAUAGCUUUAUUUUUAUAAUAUAUGUAUAUAUACCUAUGUAUAUUUCUUAUAUAUAUGCAUAAAUAAUUAUAUACAUAUAUAUACCUUAUAAUAUUCACGCGUACAUACUUUUAUUUAUUAAAUAUUUUUAUAAUCCAUAUUUUUUAUACACUUGUAUAUAUACAAAUAUCUAUGUUUCAAUUCAUAUACAUAUAUGUACGUAUACAUAUUUAUGUGCUUUAUGUACCUAUUAUAAUUUGUUUACAUGUUUAUAUAUAUCUAUACAUAUAUUUUUAUAUUUCGUGAUAGUUAUAUGUACAUAUAUACAUGUUUACUCAUAUAUUUUUAAUUUUAGAAUACAUACAUAUAUUUUUCAUGUUUUUAUAAAUUCAUGUGCAUAAACCUGUUUUUUACAACAUAUAUACUUAUAAUUCACACAUUUUUUUGUAUUCUAUAAUCUGUAUACAUAUACAUGUAAAUACUUAUAUUUUAUACCUCAUAAUAUAUAUAUAUUUUUUUAUAUUUUCAUAUUUUAUGAUUUUUAUCUAUCUUCCUUUAUUGUUAUUGUAAUUUUCAUGCGCAUUUAUUUAUUUACUUAUAUGUCCAUUUUUUAUGUUUUAGUUUUUUUUUAUAUUUUUAUUUGCUAUGAUAUAUGCACAAUUGAUUUAGUUUUUUAUUUGUUUUGUUUUUUUUGUUCACACAAUCAUGUUUAAUAUUCCAUUAUGUAUAAAUAUCAUAUUUCAAAAAAGGAAUUUUUUUUUAAAUUGAGGUAAUAUUUAGUAUUUGGAAAUUCGAGAAAACAUGCUUUAAGGUGCUGGGUGUCGUUUUUUUCCCUCGUUCAACCCAAAUGGCUUAAUAUCCUUUUUAAAAAAUUUUAAAAUAAGGCAAUGUUUUGCGUUUGAAAAUUCGAGAAAACAUGCCCCAAGGAGCUGGGUGUCGAUUUUUCUCGUUCAACCAAAUAGCUAAAUAUCCUUUCAAAAAUUUCUAAUUGAGGUAAUAUUUAGCCUUUGGAAAUUCGAGAAAACAUGCCCUAAGGUGCUGGGUGUCGAUUUUUCUCGUUCAACCAAAUGGCUUAAUAUCAUUCUUAAAAAUUUCAAAAUAAGGCAAUGUUUUGCGUCUGGAAAUUCGAGGAACGUGCCCUAAGGUGCUGGGUUUCGAUUUCUCGUUUAACCAAAUUGCCAAAUAUCCUAUUGAAAUUAAAUCCAUGCCAUUCAAGUUUUUUUAAGGAUCGUAUUUUAAAUUUCUUUAAAGUUUUCAAUCUUCGACACUAAGACAUUAAGUAAUCAACUAGGUACCAAUUUUGGGCGUAUCGAGGGUGCUAAUCCUUCCUCGUGCGUAACCGACUCCCGAACCCGUUUUUUCUGAAUUUCGUGGACCAAACUUGUUGUUUUAAUAAAAUCAAACCUUUUAUUAAAAACAACCACUUUUCGGGUGAUCCAAUCACACCUUACCAAAAAAGAUUGGUGGCGACUCCCGUUUUCGUUUUCAUUUUUCAAAACCCAAGUCGACCCCGUUUUUCAUCAUCCAAAAAAAAUGGUGUCAACACUACCUAAUCUAGAAUUAGUCACCUAAAAAAUUAAUUAUACAAAUCACCCAAGUUAAAAAAUAAUUACCUAAAUAACUUAAAAUGAACAAUAAAUUUAGGUGAGGGGACUUAAAUAGCCGGCACUACCUCGAGUUUUGUCCUAAUUAUCACUUGAUAAUUUUAUCAGGUGUUAAAAUAAUAUUUUUUGGGGCUGUGGGACCUAAAUGACCAGCACCCUCAUAUUUUUUCCACCCGUAUCAUACUGGUAUACUUUACACCAAUAUUUGAAAAAAAAUUGGGUUGGGGGACCUUGAUGGCCAGCACCACUUUUACACAUAAAAAAAAUAAUUUUUUUUGGGUGCUGGCCAACUGAUGACCGGCACCCACUUUAUCAGAUAAAAAAAUUUGGGUUGAGGGUACUAGAUGGCCGGCUUCAGCUUUUUCGGGGAUCAAAAAUUUUUUUUCACGUGCUGGGACACUGAUGGCCGGCAUCCUUGUACCAGAUUUGAGAAAAAAAAUUUUGGUACUAGGACACUGAUGGUCGACACCCUUGUACCAGAUUUGAAAAAAAAAUUUGGGUGCUGGGAUACUGAUGGCUGGCACCCACUUAGUUGGGAUGUGAUAUUGUAGUUGGUUAGAAAAAAAUUUGUUAAGCGUACCACAAAAUGAGUGUGUACUAUCAAAUGUGGAUAUUGAUUUUGGUAGUUUAUCAUCAAAUGGGUGUGAUGUAGUAGGUUGCAGAUGGAGUGUUUGGGAGUGUACAACUGAAUUUCGGGGUUGAAUUAUAUACUUUCAUUUUUCAAUGGACUUGAAUUAUAUACUGUCACGUGAACCACAAAGGUUAUGUCGUUAAGGGUCGGAUGACUUCUUCCGCUAUAGAUGGUGAACUGCGUAAACCGGUUACAGUUAAAGGAUAUGGCGUGUGAACAAGGUCUACAUUACUAAAAUGUAAUGUAGACCUAAUUCAAGUAGAAUACGACUAAUUGUUGAGAAACUACUAUUUAAAAUGUUUGUAUUAUUUUUGUAUUCGUAAAUCAAUUUUAGUCUGUAUUAUUUGUUGGUUGAAUUUUAUAUUUUUGUAAAUAAGUUAUUCUAAAAUGUUUGUAUUAUUUUGGGGUGUUGUAAAAAUAUUUUAAUUCAUAUUUGUUGGUCAAAUUUUAUAUUUUCGUAUAUAAAUUUUAUAUUUCGUAAAUAAAUUAUUCUAAAAUGUUUGAAU